UACGGAGGGGGCUAGCGUUGUUCGGAAUUACUGGGCGUAAAGCGUGCGCAGGCGGUUUUGUAAGUCUGUCGUGAAAUCCCCGGGCUUAACCUGGGAAUUGCGAUGGAGACUGCAAGGCUGGAGUUUGGCAGAGGGGGGUAGAAUUCCACGUGUAGCAGUGAAAUGCGUAGAGAUGUGGAGGAACACCGAUGGCGAAGGCAGCCCCCUGGGUCAAAACUGACGCUCAUGCACGAAAGCGUGGGGAGCAAACAGG
rnacentral:rRNA from 1 species